UGGGGAAUAUUGGACAAUGGGCGCAAGCCUGAUCCAGCCAUGCCGCGUGAGUGAUGAAGGCCUUCGGGUUGUAAAGCUCUUUUGUCCGGGAAGAUAAUGACUGUACCGGAAGAAUAAGCCCCGGCUAACUUCGUGCCAGCAGCCGCGGUAAUACGAAGGGGGCUAGCGUUGCUCGGAAUCACUGGGCGUAAAGGGCGCGUAGGCGGACUUUUAAGUCGGAGGUGAAAGCCCAGGGCUCAACCCUGGAAUUGCCUUCGAUACUGGGAGUCUUGAGUCCGGAAGAGGUUGGUGGAACUGCGAGUGUAGAGGUGAAAUUCGUAGAUAUUCGCAAGAACACCGGUGGCGAAGGCGGCCAACUGGUCCGAAACUGACGCUGAGGCGCGAAAGCGUGGGGAGCAAACAGG
rnacentral:rRNA from 1 species